rnacentral:rRNA from 1 species
CGGGUGAGUAACGCGUGGAAAACCUGCCAUAUACUGGGGGAUAACACUUAGAAAUAGGUGCUAAUACCGCAUAAGCGCACAGCUUCGCAUGAAGCGGUGUGAAAAACUCUGGUGGUAUACGAUGGUUCCGCGUCUGAUUAGCUAGUUGGUGGGGUAAUGGCCUACCAAGGCAACGAUCAGUAGCCGGCCUGAGAGGGUGAACGGCCACAUUGGGACUGAGACACAGCCCAAACUCCUACGGAAGGCAGCAG